rnacentral:rRNA from 1 species
CCUACGGGUGGCAGCAGUGAGGAAUAUUGGUCAAUGGACGAAAGCCUGAACCAGCCAAGUAGCGUGAAGGAUGACUGCCCUAUGGGUUGUAAACUCCUUUUAUAAAGGAAUAAAACGAGUCACGUGUUCCUUUUUGCAUGUACUUUAUGAAUAAGGAUCGGCUAAUUCCGUGCCAGCAGCCGCGGUAAUACGGAGGAUCCGAGCGUUAUCCGGAUUUAUUGGGGUUAAAGGGAGCGUAGAUGGGUUGUUAAGUCAGUUGUGAAAGUUUGAGGCUCAACCGUAAAAUUGCAAUUGAUACUGGCAGACUUGAGUACAGUUGAGGUAGGCGGAAUUCGUGGUGUAGCGGUGAAAUGCGUAGAUAUCACGAAGAACCCCGAUUGCGAAGGCAGCUUACUAAACUGUGACUGACAUUGAUGCUCGAAAGUGUGGGUAUCAAACAGGAUUAGAUACCCUUGUAGUC